rnacentral:rRNA from 1 species
CUGCAGAUGCGGCGGCUUACACAUGCAGUCGAACGCCCCGCAAGGGGAGUGGCAGACGGGUGAGUAACGCGUGGGAAUCUACCGUACCCUACGGAAUAACGCAUGGAAACGUGUGCUAAUACCGUAUACGCCCUACGGGGGAAAGAUUUAUCGGGGUAUGAUGAGCCCGCGUUGGAUUAGCUAGUUGGUGGGGUAAAGGCCUACCAAGGCGACGAUCCAUAGCUGGUCUGAGAGGAUGAUCAGCCACAUUGGGACUGAGACACGGCCCAAACUCCUACGGGAGGCAGCAGUGGGGAAUAUUGGACAAUGGGCGCAAGCCUGAUCCAGCCAUGCCGCGUGAGUGAUGAAGGUCUUAGGAUUGUAAAGCUCUUUCACCGAUGAAGAUAAUGACGGUAGUCGGAGAAGAAGCCCCGGCUAACUUCGUGCCAGCAGCCGCGGUAAUACGAAGGGGGCUAGCGUUGUUCGGAAUUACUGGGCGUAAAGCGCACGUAGGCGGAUAUUUAAGUCAGGGGUGAAAUCCCGCAGCUCAACUGCGGAACUGCCUUUGAUACUGGGUAUCUCGAGUAUGGAAGAGGUGAGUGGAAUUCCGAGUGUACAGGUGAAAUUCGUAGAUAUUCGGAGGAACACCAGUGGCGAACGCGGCUCACUGGUCCAUUACUGACGCUGAGGUGCGAAAGCGUGGGGAGCAAACAGGAUUAGAUACCCCUGGUAGUCCUC